rnacentral:lncRNA from 1 species
CUGGUCUCUGAGGGGGCUGGGGGCCGUGGGCAGGGGGCUUCCAGGCGUCUACCCAAUUCCCAGCCGUCUCUUGCUCUCAUGCGCACGUUGAACCUAAAGCAGACCUCGCAGCAGGCGACUUUAACACCCUUGCUGGAAUCCCGUUUGCUGGAGUGUAGGGAAUAGGCAAGUUGCUUCGAUACCUGACGAAUCCAAUACAGUUCUAGACACAGAGGGAACCGUUAACCGAAGUCUGUAGAUGUAUUUGUGAUAGCCUUCUUGUCCUCGAAGACUGGAUACGGAUUUUCUGCAUGUGCUCCAUAGAGUCAAUGUUUCAGACUUUGUCCUCCGGCAUUCUAGAGGCAUCUCUCCUGGGGCACUCAUCACCAGACUGGGUCACGGAGCAUCCUUCCCUAGCUUCCUGUGAACUUCAUGGACCACCCAGAGGGACUCAUAUAUAGAUAGUUACGGUAAGUAACAACGGACUUUGGUCCAGUAAACAUUUAUUGUUUCGAUCCAAUAAACAUCUAUUAUAAAAUAGACUCUAUAUUAAU